rnacentral:tRNA from 1 species
GCCCCCGUGGUGGAAUUGGCAUACACGGCAGGUUGAGGGCCUGUGUCCUUUAGGACGUGUCCGUUCAAGUCGGACCGGGGGCACCA